UACGUAGGGGGCAAGCGUUGUCCGGAUUUAUUGGGCGUAAAGAGCGUGUAGGCGGCUAGGCAGGUCCGUUGUGAAAACUCGAGGCUCAACCUCGAGACGUCGAUGGAAACCAUCUAGCUAGAGUCCGGAAGAGGAGAGUGGAAUUCCUGGUGUAGCGGUGAAAUGCGCAGAUAUCAGGAAGAACACCCGUGGCGAAGGCGGCUCUCUGGUACGUGACUGACGCUGAGACGCGAAAGCGUGGGGAGCGAACAGG
rnacentral:rRNA from 1 species